rnacentral:lncRNA from 1 species
GUUUAGACGAGUUGUCUAUACAUUAUGUACACAGCCAUGUAUCACCAUCAUUGAUGGCGAUCCGAUGGAUACAUCUGUUGUAGAGUUGUCACUGACUCAGACGUACUUAUAAAUAUAAUUAUUUUCUGUGACUGUAUAUUACAUUAAUUUGUAGGAUCCUUUACUAUAGAUAAUUUAGCUGAUCUGUAAUAAUAACAUCUUCA